rnacentral:rRNA from 1 species
AUUGAACGCUGGCGGCAGGCCUAACACAUGCAAGUCGAGCGAGCGGCGGACGCGUGUGUAAUGUCUGGGAAACUGCCUGAUGUAGGGGGGUAACUCCUGGAAACGGUAGCUAAUACAGCAUACGAUCAGAUGUGCCCAGAUGGGAUUAGCUAGUAGGUGGGGUAACGGCUCACCUAGGCGACGAUCCCUAGCUGGUCUGAGAGGAGGACCAGCCACACUGGAACUGAGACACGGUCCAGACUCCUACGGGAGGCAGCAGUGGGGAAUAGUGCACAAUGGGCGCAAGCCUGAUGCAGCCAUGCCGCGUGUGUGAAGAAGGCCUUCGGGUUGUAAAGCACUUUCAGCGGGGAGGCGUUACCCGCAGAAGAAGCACCGGCUAACUCCGUGCCAGCAGCCGCGGUAAUUC